GGAUGGCAUCAACAUUUCAUAGUGAAGAAUCAUGGUUUUGUUACAUCAGGAAAAUUAAAUUGGGAGAGUUAUUUUCUUUCCCAGUGAUAGUGGCAGUUAGAAUAUUUCACCUGUAAUGAGAUGUGUGCGUUCUGUGCCAUCGCGAGCCACGGCUCGGCCAUUAAAUCUAUGUAAAUGAAGAGAAACACGGGAGAGCCGCGCAUAAUAACGCGCGGAACAGAGAAAUGGAUCCUGGAAAGUGAUUAAUUUAUUUGAUGAUGCCUCAAGUGAGGAAUUUUAGGUCACAAAUGAAGUGACAGAAUGACAAAUUACCAUUUUAAAGAAUUUACUGGGCAUCAUUACUGAACAAUUGUCAGGUAGUUUAUGGUGGCUGAGAAGAUGGUAUAAAUAUAGAUCUUUUCCUUAUCUGAGAUGAAUUAUUAAUCACCUUUUUAAAAAUCUUUGUGAGUGAUGGUUGGCCGUCUCAUUGGAAAUAAUGUGUUCUACAAUUUUAACUAAAUUCUAAUAUGAUAUGUAACAGGAAUCUUUACAAUUAAAGUCUCAGUGGAGAGUGGUAGGAGGUUUACAGUCAAUUGCGGUUUUAAUGUGAUAGAAGAGGAUGAACCCGCUCGCAUAUUUCAAUGGAUUUCCUUAGGUUAUGUCCCUUCCCCGGCUGUAUGUCACGGUGCCUACUACCAGGACCGACUGCAGUGUGCAAGGCGAAGUUGCAAUUUGAAAUAAAGACAUUGUCUCCAGGCUACUUCAACCAGAGCAUGUGAAUCUAUCCGGGUCUGAUCAGCUGCUCAGAUCAAAUGUAUGUGCUGUUGCAAAGCGGUCCCAUCUCCACACUGCAGGCUGGAUUGGGGGAAAUGUGCGCGCUGCUUCCCUUUGCUGCAAAAGACGCUCAGGGUUUCCCUGUUGUGCAUAAUGGCACAUUUGGGGUCAGUCCCCUCCAGCGUCUCUCCAUUAGAGAGCAUCCACUGAGACUAAUAUAUCUGAAAUAUAUCAUGAAAACAACAUUUAGAGAGGAGAAAUGGUAGAAAACUUAAAGUUUCAUAGAAUCCAGGGAGGUAAUAUAAAUAAGCAAAUCAGCCUGGUAGUACGCUAUGCUGAACGGAAGAGAACGUGUGUCAGCUGGCCUGGAGCACCGUCAGAGG
rnacentral:lncRNA from 12 species